GGGGCGUUGGUCGAGAGGGAAGGCGCAGGACUUUCACUCCUGAAAUCGCCGGUUCGAAUCCGGCACGCCCUAC
rnacentral:tRNA from 1 species